rnacentral:lncRNA from 1 species
UACUAUUGGAAGGUUGGCUACCUUGGAUGUUGGUUUAGAACCGUUCGUGCUAAGCAAGAUUGGACGGAUGGGUGGAAGUUGCAAUUAGCAACGAGAUGGAAGGGGUACACCAUACUUAACCUUGGAUUGAAUUGCACUCAGUUGUGCCAUCUCGAGAAGAGAGUUGACCUUAGAUUUGAAGGAUCAUCGUUGGAAUAUGAGCCGAUGAGUGGAUGUUGCAGCACCUCCCCUUGGUGAGUGUUGAUCAGAUGAGCACUCCGAUGGAGUUCCGAUAGAUGAGUAAUGGAUUUAAC